UGAAGCUGGAAUCGCUAGUAAUCGCGGAUCAGCAUGCCGCGGUGAAUACGUUCCCGGGCCUUGUACACACCGCCCGUCACACCAUGAGAGUCGGGAACACCCGAAGUCCGUGCCUGACCGCAAGGGGGGCGCGGCCGAAGGUGGGUUCGAUAAUUGGGGUGAAGUCGUAACAAGGUACC
rnacentral:rRNA from 1 species